rnacentral:rRNA from 1 species
AGUAACGCGUGAGCAAUCUGCCUCUAUCAGCAGGAUAACACUUAGAAAUAGGUGCUAAUACCGCAUAAGACCACGAAGUCGCAUGACUUUGGGGUAAAAGCUCCGGCGGAUAGAGAUGAGCUCGCGUCCUAUUAGCUAGUUGGUGGGGUAACGGCCUACCAAGGCGACGAUAGGUAGCCGACCUGAGAGGGUGGACGGCCACAUUGGGACUGAGACACGGCCCAGACUCCUACGGAAGGCAGCAG